GAUGAACGCUGGCGGCGUGCCUAAUACAUGCAAGUCGAGCGAACGGACGAGAAGCUUGCUUUUCUGAUGUUAGCGGCGGACGGGUGAGUAACACGUGGAUAACCUACCUAUAAGACUGGGAUAACUUCGGGAAACCGUAGCUAAUACCGGAUAAUAUUUUGAACCGCAUUGUUCAAAAGUGAAAGACGGUCUUGCUGUCACUGAUAGAUGGAUCCGCGCUGCAUUAGCUAGUUGGUAAGGUAACGGCUUACCAAGGCAACGAUGCAUAGCCGACCUGAGAGGGUGAUCGGCCACACUGGAACUGAGACACGGUCCCGACUCCUACGGGAGGCAGCAGUAGGGAAUCUUCCGCAAUGGGCGAAAGCCUGACGGAGCAACGCCGCGUGAGUGAUGAAGGUCUUCGGAUCGUAAAACUCUGUUAUUAGGGAAGAACAUAUGCGUAAGUAACUGUGCACAUCUUGACGGUACCUAAUCAGAAAGCCACGGCUAACUACGUG
rnacentral:rRNA from 1 species